rnacentral:rRNA from 1 species
GACAGCGGCGUAAGAGUGGUUAAGAACUAAACCAAAACUAAAGCCGAACGCUCUCAAAGCUGUUAUACGCACUCGAGAGUAUGAAGUUCAACUACGAAAGUGGCUUUACCCCUUCUGAACCCACGAAAGCUAGGACA